UUUUCACCUAUAUUUGUUAACAGUCUACACCACUGUCAGAACACACACUGCAAAAACAUUGAUCACAUAAAGACUGACAUAAUACAAGUGUAUUUAUGGUUUGUCCAGCAUCUGCAGAUUUUCUCGGUUAUGGUCUAUAUUUGACAUCACCACUGGAAACUUAAAAAAAAUCUUGUGUAUUUAAAGUAACAACUUAAUAUUAUUAAACAAGAAACUUCAGACUACCUGCUAAUAUUAAAUCCUUAGCUGAGCUAACCUUAGCUGUGAGUAUCUGGGGCCAGGUCAUAUUGAUAGCUAUUAGAUAUCAAAGUUUCUCUUGUCACUACUGCCAUUAGAAAGGAGUUACAGUCCCACAACAACUGGCUCCGGAACAGUGAUUGUCCUCCCCUCUUCAACCAUCAGGCUGUCGAACCACAGCAGAUAACUUCUCUGCCUCACUAUUAAGGAGUCUAUAAUUUGUGUUCUCAAUACUUAUUGCUUAUUUGUUUAUUUAUUUAUUAUUAUUUUGUUGUAUUUUUAUACUUUCUCAGCUCAGGCUGGUAAAGUCUGAGGUACAGGCAUAGACAAGCAUGCUCAUUUCUCAAGUGCUGGGAACUUUUGGAUAAUUCUAGAGGUGUUUAAUAAUGCCGCUUUCUGGAGAUUUACAUAAAUAUUGCCCUGAAGGCCUAAUUGCUAUUUUUAUUUAUUUUGUAUUUGCACUGCUUGUUGUCUUUUGGAUAUAGGUUGUUUGCCCAUCUCUGUUGUAUGUGUUUUUUAUGGAUUCUAUUGUGUUUCUGUUAUUACCGUGAAUGCCUGCAAGAAAAUGGAUCUUAGGGCGGGAUAUGGUGACAUGUGUAUUUUGAUAAUACAUUUACUUUGAACUUUGAAUUCUUGAUUCUUUUUCGGGUGAUUCUCUCCAUUUACUUUUCACUGAUCCCGACGUUCUGCUUCGUGAAUUUAUUUUGAAACAGACUUGUACUUAUCACUUACAGGGUAACUGCCGGGAUCAACAGACAGUGUUGCUGUUUUAGAGCUCCAGACACCCUCAUUGGUGCCCUCUGUAGUAAAUGACGAGUUUACCUAUUCUCCCUCUGCAGCGUGGGUUUCUCCCGGUGCUCCGGUUUCGUACCACCCCCACCCCCGACCCACCCUCUGCCGUCCCAAAGACGCGAAGGUUGGAGGAUUAACCGAUUACUGGCUCCAGUACCUACUCUCUGAUAGAAGCAUUGAGAAGAGGGUGUGACUUGAGUGGUGUUGGUCCUUAAUGAUCGAAGCCACCUUUGUGCGGCAUUUGCUUUUGAGGAUUGAUGCCCCUUUUAAAGCAGGACUGGACCCAGGUGUGGAUGAAUGGCAGGAUCCCCAGGAAGAGAUGGAAACAAGAAGUUAAAACGUCAGAAUCAGAGUCUUGGAGCAGUGACUGAGCGACACCACAAGAAAGCACUAAAAGGUUACUAAAAGAAAACUUUCAUGCCCUCUUAAAAGUUUCUUCGCCCAGACAGGUCACACCAGCACAUCACAGCAAUACCCUAAUACUUGUAAUUAUACAGUAUACACCAAAUAAAAUUGAUCCUUGAUAGGUGGACAUGAACUGUGUUGUUCAAGAUUUAGUUAACAGCACCUUUAAACCAAAUGCAUCACCAGUCUCAGACCUGCUCAAUGAGCAAACACUACCAUUCAAGACUUUUACCUAAUUUGACAUGCUUGUCUGUUAUGAGCAUUUAACUCACGGUGGUACAUAUUACCUCAUAUUCAACCGUGAUCAGUAUUCACUCAAACACUUCCCCCUUUCCUUUGCAAGACAUGGUACUGCAUAAUCAGAAGCUGCUGCAGCUGACUGGCUGAAGAGAAGUGCAUUUCCUUUCUCACAUAAACAGGAUUUGGGAGAAGAAUGAAAAGUGAAGAUGGAAACAUGCCAUGAUUCAUUUUGGUACUGCUGGCCAGUUUAACUGUUGCUGCUGCUUGUAAAUUAAAAGGCUGAUUUUAAAGCAGGAUGUCCACAUGGGGAAAAUGAGAGUUACGAGGGCUCAGGCUUGGGCCCAUUUUGUGGCCUAUAUGACACUGAAAUGUUCGAUACAUUAGCAGGCUGAUCAGAAAAUCUAUGUCAAGGACCAAUCUCGCAUUCACUUCUGCAAUUCUUUCACUCACAUAUCUUCAAAUUACAUUGAGGGAGACCUCUGGCUCAUUAUUUGCUUCAUGCCAAAAUGAAGCCCAUCCCUUCCAACACAGCAGCGGAGAGUGACUCCAUUAACACACUUCUGAGCUCAAUCAUAACGUAGCAGAUUAUGGUGCUACUUUGAGGGAGAAACAAGCAGAAGCCAUUUAGACAUCUGGACAAGCCUUGGAAGGUCAGGCUCCCUUUGUUCAAGCCCCAGCUGGUUCGGGUGACUGCCAUCGUGGCUUUGAAUGCCAGAGUUAAUGGUGCUUGCAGGAAAUCAGAGCACUAUAGCAGUCUGCACUGUGUCACAGUCCUUCCAUGUACGGCGUUGCUUGAGAUUGUCUCCGCUGCAGCUUCCCAUCAAGAUAGGUAGCAUUCUGUAGGAGCACUGGCCCUGACAAAGGCACAGGGAAACCAGACAAUAGUGAAUCUUGUACCAAUUGCUUCUUAACAUCACUGGUUAUUUGCCUCUAAAACAUGAGUCAGGCCACAAAAUGCCCUGGUUGAGUUUAGGCAGAGUGAGUGACUGCCUGAUAAACUGGUGAUUUUGGCGGGUACUGCAAACCCCCCUGUGAAAAUCUUGCUAACUAACAGAUUUUCAUUUUCAGAUACUGUUGACUUCAUUCAAAGCAAAGAUCAAUAGAUUUCAGUAAGUUAAAGGUCUGGAGAGAUAAGGAGACUAUACUGGGAAAAAACACUGAGGCAGAAGAUCUACCAUGAUAUUGAUGAAGGGUGGGACAGGACCAAAGAGCUCAAGGCCUCUCCUCCUAUAUUUAAAUUUUUAUUUUCCCUUUUCUGGUCUUAAUGUGCAAUCUGUAUUCCACUUUGGUGUUCAAGGAAAACAGCCAGCCAGAUUGUUUUUAACACAUGCCAUUAUUAAAACAGUCCACUCUAUAAAGGUACAGUAAAUCCCACUGUGUUGUAAUGCAACGUUUAAUGUAGCUCCUGGUCAGGUGAUGAAUUUGGUAUGAGCAGCAACUUGUUGAUUCUCAAUGACUGCUCAGUCCUUUGCAGUGUGUGCUAAAUUUGACAAUGUAGUCAAGUAUAUAACUACAUUCGCUGUUUGAUCAAAAUGUAGCAUCAUUCACUGAGUUAUCAUGGAUGGAUGUUUGGAUUGCCACAGUGAGCUAUACUCCUUGACAGGAGUCAAACAGAGCUGCAUCAUCAUGCCUACACUAUUUACCAUCUUUACUGCUGCCUUCCUUCAUCUUAUUGGCCAGGAGCUGUCCCAAUCAUGUACAGAAUGGACAACAUCUGUUUCAACCUCAACCGGUUGAAGGCCAAGAACAUGGUCAGCAUCAGCAGUAUCAUGGUGCUUAUAAAUCCUAAUUACAAUGCAGCUGGACUUGAGAUAUCUUUCUAUAUUAUUGCAAUGUAUUCUAAAGUGAUUAAUUUGUCAAGCAAAGUCUCAAUCCAGACUUCAGUCUUACACAGAUUUUCAUCAGAUCAUCUAUUUGUUUAGUUAGCAACUUUACUGAGUGAUCUGGUUUCCACUUAUAUCCUAAAACAUGAGGGUUGGUAGGUUAAUAGGCCUCAACUAACUGGGACAUGCCCUCUUCUCAUUGCUACCAUCUGAGAGGAGGAACAGGAGCCUGAAGAUGCAGACUCAACAUUUUAGGAACAGCUGCUUCCCCUCUGCCAUCAGAUUUCUGAACAAAUAAUGAACCCAUGAAUGCUAACUCACUAUUUUGCUCUCUGUUUCCACAACUUAUUUAUAUUUCAAUGUAUUUCUUAUUGUACUUUAUAGCACAUUUUAUGUAUUCUAUUGCCCUGCUGCAACAAAACAACAAAUUUCAGGACACACCUCUGUGAUAAUAUACCUGACUCUGAUUCUAACUGCUGGUAAUAACAAUGACAUUGCAUCAGUUUCCUUUGCCUCUCAAUGAACUAAAAUUAUGGAAACAAAUUUUGUGGAAUC